AAGGAUCAUUAAAGGGAAUUUGGGGUUCGUCCCCGUCCUCCCAUCCGUGGAAACGCGAGGCCCCUUGCUACGUUACUUCGGCGGGGUUUUCCCGCCGAGCAGCAAGCACAAAACUCUGUUUUAACGUGUCGUUGAUGACAACGCAAAUAAAUCAAAACUUUCAACAACGGAUCUCUUGGUUCUG
rnacentral:misc_RNA from 1 species